UUUGCUAAACAUAGGGAUUUAUCUUUUGGUUAUAAUUAUUAUUUGCCUAACCCCAAAGGACCCAAAAAGAUUUGGGUACCAAAAACCUCUCCGUAGGUAUUUUUGCAGGUGUGCUUGAAGACUACAAAAUUGUAGUAGAUGCGUCAAGCACGACACCCAAAGGCAUCGAGAGGAAUUUCGGUUAGCUAUUCUUUUUGAUAAAACCGAAUAUGUGCGAGUUAUUAAUGUUGACAGAUUUGUUG
rnacentral:lncRNA from 1 species